rnacentral:rRNA from 1 species
UACGGAGGGUGCAAACGUUGCUCGGAAUCAUUGGGCGUAAAGCGAGCGUAGGCGGUCUCGUAAGUCGGAUGUGAAAGCCCUCGGCUCAACCGAGGAAGUGCACCCGAAACUGCGAGACUUGAGUGUCGGAGAGGGUGACGGAAUUCCCGGUGUAGAGGUGAAAUUCGUAGAUAUCGGGAGGAACAUCAGUGGCGAAGGCGGUCACCUGGACGAUAACUGACGCUGAGGCUCGAAAGCGUGGGGAGCAAACAGG